GAUGAACGCUAGCUACAGGCUUAACACAUGCAAGUCGAGGGGCAGCGCAGUGUAGCAAUACAUGGGCGGCGACCGGCGCACGGGUGCGUAACGCGUAUCCAACCUUCCCGUUACUCAGGGAUAGCCUUCCGAAAGGGAGAUUAAUACCUGAUGGUGUUGAAAUUCCGCAUGUUAUUUCAACUAAAGAUUUAUCGGUAACGGAUGGGGAUGCGUGACAUUAGGUAGAUGGCGGGGUAACGGCCCACCAUGCCUACGAUGUCUAGGGGUUCUGAGAGGAAGGUCCCCCACACUGGAACUGAGACACGGUCCAGGCUCCUACGGGAGGCAGCAGUGAGGAAUAUUGGUCAAUGGCCGGAAGGCUGAACCAGCCAAGUAGCGUGAAGGAUGAAGGUUCUAUGGAUUGUAAACUUCUUUUAUACGGGAAUAAAACCUCCCACGUGUGGGAGCUUGUAUGUACCGUAUGAAUAAGCAUCGGCUAACUCCGUGCCAGCCGCCGCCGUAACAC
rnacentral:rRNA from 1 species